rnacentral:rRNA from 1 species
UACGUAGGGUGCAAGCGUUGUCCGGAAUUAUUGGGCGUAAAGAGCUCGUAGGCGGUUUGUCGCGUCUGCUGUGAAAUCCCAGGGCUUAACCCUGGGCCUGCAGUGGGUACGGGCAAACUAGAGUGCGGUAGGGGAGAUCGGAAUUCCUGGUGUAGCGGUGAAAUGCGCAGAUAUCAGGAGGAACACCGGUGGCGAAGGCGGAUCUCUGGGACGGUACUGACGCUGAGACGCGAAAGCGUGGGAGCGAACAGG